rnacentral:sRNA from 1 species
UUUGAUGUUGUUACGUUUUCGAUAUGGA